rnacentral:rRNA from 1 species
GAUGAACGCUGGCGGCGUGCCUAAUACAUGCAAGUCGAGCGAACAGACGAGGAGCUUGCUCCUCUGACGUUAGCGGCGGACGGGUGAGUAACACGUGGAUAACCUACCUAUAAGACUGGGAUAACUUCGGGAAACCGGAGCUAAUACCGGAUAAUAUAUUGAACCGCAUGGUUCAAUAGUGAAAGACGGUUUUGCUGUCACUUAUAGAUGGAUCCGCGCCGCAUUAGCUAGUUGGUAAGGUAACGGCUUACCAAGGCAACGAUGUGUAGCCGACCUGAGAGGGUGAUCGGCCACACUGGAACUGAGACACGGUCCAGACUCCUACGGGAGGCAGCAGUAGGGAAUCUUCCGCAAUGGGCGAAAGCCUGACGGAGCAACGCCGCGUGAGUGAUGAAGGUCUUCGGAUCGUAAAACUCUGUUAUUAGGGAAGAACAAAUGUGUAAGUAACUAUGCACGUCUUGACGGUACCUAAUCAGAAAGCCACGGCUAACCACGUG